GACGAACGCUGGCGGCGUGCUUAACACAUGCAAGUCGAGCGGUAAGGCCCUUUCGGGGGUACACGAGCGGCGAACGGGUGAGUAACACGUGGGUGACUUGCCCUCAGCUCUGGGAUAAGCCCGGGAAACUGGGUCUAAUACUGGAUAUGACUCCACGGUGCAUGCCGUGGGGUGGAAAGCCUUGUGCGGCUGAGGAUGGGCCCGCGGCCUAUCAGCUUGUUGGUGGGGUGAUGGCCUACCAAGGCGACGACGGGUAGCCGGCCUGAGAGGGCGACCGGCCACACUGGGACUGAGACACGGCCCAGACUCCUACGGGAGGCAGCAGUGGGGAAUCUUGCGCAAUGGGCGAAAGCCUGACGCAGCGACGCCGCGUGA
rnacentral:rRNA from 1 species